AUGGCUGGAAUAAUGGUGAGUGCUUCUACUGGUGUGAUGAACUCUUUGUUGGGUAAGCUGACAACCCUCAUGGGAAAGGAGUUUGCAAGGCUGAAGAACCUGCGAAAAGAAGUGAGGUUCAUUAGCAAUGAGCUUGCCUACAUGAAGGAUGCUCUUGAUGGGCUUUCAGAUCUUGAAGAGCUAGAUUCACAAACUAAGAGGUGGAGAGACUCGGUGAGGGAGAUGUCCUAUGACAUUGAGGACAUCAUCGAUGACUUCAUGCAAAGCAUUGGUGAGAAUGGUAAAACUACUGGGCUUGUUAGCAAUACUGUUCGACGCCUCAAAACUUUGAGGGCUCGUCAUUGGAUUGCUGGACAAAUUGAAGAGGUCAAAAACUUGUGCUAG
rnacentral:rRNA from 1 species